AGUUAGCUAAUUAUUCACAUACAUGAAUAAAUCCUUAUUUUCAGGUACAGAUGCCCUUAAAGUUUUUGAUGAAGUAAAGAGCAAGAUACCAUCCCAUCCAGCAGUGAUACGGUAUGACCAAUUCCCAGACAAUAUGACAAAGAAUAACAAUUGGACACCAACAGUUCACAUAUGAGAAGAUGUUUUUAGGACUUCAUGUAUGUACAGGAGCUUCUAAGGAGGAAUUGAAAAGAAGAUUGCAUUCGAUCGAUCUCCUUAACUUGCUAUAAAGAUGAUUUCCUUUUAUUGAAUAAUUCAAAGUAUGGUGACUUUGUUGAACGCAUGUAUCCCAUUGAACUUGAAAUAAAGGAUACAACAGAUACAGGUGAAUCCUUGCUGGGUCAUUGAAAAACCUACUGGAAGUUCUUCUGAUACUGGAAAUUGAAAACAAAUGGCUCCUGGUUCCAGAUUUUGGACAAGCACAUACA